GACAGAGGUGCCGAGCGUUAGGCGGAAUCACUGGGCUUAAAGCGCGUGUAGGCGGCAGGCCAAGUCUGUGGUGAAAUCGCUCGGCUCAACUGGGCGGGGUCCAUGGAAACUGGUCAGCUGGAGGACGGUAGAGGUGAGUGGAAUUCCCGGUGUAGUGGUGAAAUGCGCAGAUAUCAGGAAGAACACCCGUGGCGAAGGCGGCUCUCUGGGACGGUACUGACGCUGAGACGCGAAAGCGUGGGGAGCGAACAGG
rnacentral:rRNA from 1 species